rnacentral:rRNA from 1 species
CAACUUUCAACAACGGAUCUCUUGGCUCUCGCAUCGAUGAAGAACGCAGCGAAAUGCGAUAAGUAAUGUGAAUUGCAGAUUUCAGUGAAUCAUCGAAUCUUUGAACGCACCUUGCGCUCUUUGGUAUUCCGAAGAGCAUGCCUGUUUGAGUGUCAUG